UGGCUCAGUUGUUAGAGCAUGGUGUGUGCAACACCAGGGUUGUGGGUUCGAUUCCCAC
rnacentral:tRNA from 1 species